UGCUUGUCUCAAAGAUUAAGCCAUGCAUGUCUAAGCAUAAACCGAAUAUGGUAAAGCCGCGAAUGGCUCAUUACAACAGCCAUAGUUUAUUGGAUCUUAGAGUCCUACUUGGAUACCUGUGGUAAUUCUAGAGCUAAUACACGCAAUCAAGCCUCAACCUUACGGGCGGGGCGCAUUUAUUAGAACAAAACCAAUUGGCUUCGGCCAUAGAUUGGUGAAUCUGAAUAACUACGCUGAUCGCACGGGCUUGUCCCGGCGACGUAUCCUUCAAGUGUCUGCCUUAUCAACUUUCGAUGGUAGUUUAUAUGACUACCAUGGUUGUAACGGGUAACGGAGAAUAAGGGUUCGACUCCGGAGAGGGAGCCUGAGAAACGGCUACCACAUCCRAGGAAGGCAGCAGGCA
rnacentral:rRNA from 1 species